CCACAAACUUGGAUGAUGGCGUUGUUUACUUCGAAUGAACAGCACACAGUAAUCUCAGAACUUCUCUAGUUAGGCAAAAAAAAAAUUACAUUAGUUUUUCACUAACAUUUCUCGUCAUGCCCAUGUGGUGUUCUGUGCCUGGCUCUGCUAAUUACAAACAAGUGCAAAAAGGAGUUAUCUUUCACCAUUUUACCUACCAGAGACUUACUCCGAUGCUGCCAGUGACUUGUAGCUAUCAAGCAUUAUACUAACGGUGACCAAAGACUGCUAGAGGGGUUUUCAGGCUGAACUGAUGGGGAAUCCAUAGAUUUUUUUCCCAUAAAAUGGAAGAUUCUUGAUUAGAGGUAACCUAACAUUAGCUAGCUCGCUAACCUAGAUGGACAAGGUGGUACAGAAUCUGAUUCCACCAGCAUGUGCUUCCAACCCCUGGCUCACCACAAGGUGAAGGGGAUCUGGAGUCCUUCCACAAUGUCCUGCUGAAAAAUUCACCAAAGCGGGUAAACAAGCAUUAUGGAGCAGUUACACCUUCCGGUUAUGGAGCACAACAAGAUUAUUCUCAAAACACAAUACAAUGACAUGUCUACAAAAAUUCCCUGCCAAGUGCUACUAUUGAUAAGAAUGAUCUGUCCAAGCCAAUGGGCAGGGGAAGGUUUACAGACAGGUCUUUGAGAUGAGGAAGGGGGUUUUGGUUAUGCAGGGUCAUGUUUCGAGACAGUAUACAGUGCCUUGCGAAAGUAUUCGGCCCCCUUGAACUUUUCGACCUUUUGCCACAUUUCAGGCUUCAAACAUAAAGAUAUAAAACUGU
rnacentral:lncRNA from 1 species